GGGCCCGCGUCCGAUUAGCUAGUUGGUGGGGUAAUGGCCCACCAAGGCAACGAUCGGUAGCCGGCCUGAGAGGGCGGACGGCCACACUGGGACUGAGACACGGCCCAGACUCCUACGGGAGGCAGCAGUGGGGAAUUGUUCGCAAUGGGCGCAAGCCUGACGACGCAACGCCGCGUGGAGGAUGAAGAUCUUCGGGUCGUAAACUCCUUUCGAUCGAGACGAAUUCCUCCGGGAUGAACAAUCCCGGAGGUUGACGGUACCGAGAGAAGAAGCCCCCGGCUAACUCCGUGCCAGCAGCCGCGGUAAUACGUAGGGGGCAAGCGUUGUUCGGAAUUACUGGGCGUAAGGGCCUCGUAGGUGGUUCACUAAGUCGGACGUGAAUCCCUCGGCUUAACCGGGGAACUGCGUCCGAUACUGGUUGGCUUGAGUUUGGGAGAGGGAUGCGGAAUUCCAGGUGUAGCGGUGAAAUGCGUAGAUAUCUGGAGGAACACCGGUGGCGAAGGCGGCAUCCUGGACCAAUACUGACGCUGAGGAGCGAAAGCCAGGGGAGCAAACGGGAUUAGAUACCCCGGUAGUCCUGGCCCUAAACGAUGAAUGCUUGGUGUGGCGGGUAUCGAUCCCUGCCGUGCCGAAGCUAACGCAUUAAGCAUUCCGCCUGGGGGAGUACGGUCGCAAGAUUAAAACUCAAAGGAAUUGACGGGGGCCUGCACCAAGCGGUGGAGCAUG
rnacentral:rRNA from 1 species